rnacentral:rRNA from 1 species
AUGAAUAAUAUGGAAAGUAUUGUUUUUGUCGUUAAAUAUAUUUAAUGGCGGCAAGUAUACAAAGAAACUAUUAUGGAUUCACAGCUUUAUAUCAAAGAGAGUAAAAGUCGUAGAAGACUAUUAAAUUCGAAAUUGAAUAGAUAGUAGAUGAACUCUAAUUAGAAAUUAAUUAAAUAAGACGAAGUGAAUUGAAAUAUCUUAUUAACUUCAGGAAAACAAAUCAAACGAGAUUCUGUAAGUAGUGUGAAUGAAAUAGGAAUAGCCUUUUAAGUAAAAUGGAGUACAAACCUGUUUGAAUAUAUAGGGGAACCUUCCUCUAAGGCUAAAUAUGAUAUAUAAGCGAUAGUAAAAGUAGUACCGUGAGGGAAAGGAUUGAAAUAGUAGUUUUAUAAGCAGCUCGAUCAAAGUUUAAAUAAACAAUGAGAGCGUACCUUUUGCAUAAUGGGUCAGCAAGUUAAUAUUAGAUGCGAGCAAAUAGGUAAAAAUUAGAAAAUAUUUGUUAAAAGACCAGAUUAAUUUGUUACCAGACCAUACCAUACUAGUUUUUACCAAAUUGCGCAGAUAAACCAAUUAUGAAACAAUGAUGUAGUAUCUAAAAUUAGACCCGAAGCCUAGUGAUCUUACCACGAUCAGGGUUAUAAAAGCUCGAACGGGUUAUCGUUGUAUAGAUAUCCGAAGAAUUGUGGUAAGUUAGUGAAAGACAAAACUGACUAGGAUAGCUGGUUUUCCGCGAAACCUAUCUGAGUAGGUAAUUUAAAUAACAUCAUGGCAGGUACAGCACUGCACCUCAUGCAGCUAACAUUGAUAAAAAGAUGUUAUCUGUAGACAUUGGGGGUCGUGAAGAUACUAUCAGUGAGUGUUCGGCCUCGGAAGGGCUAUGAUAAAUAUUGAAUAAUCAGACAUAGUACGCUAAGGUUGUAUGUCUAAAGGGAAACAGCCCAGAACAAUAGUUAAUAAGGUUCCUAAAUUAUUGUUAAGUGAAAUUAAGGUAGUUUUUUUCAUAAACGACUAGUAAAUAGGCUUAGAAUCGGCCAUUUUUUGAAGACAUCGUAGCAGAGCACUAGUUUGUAAAUCGAUUAUAUGUUUUGCAUGUAGAAAGCACCCAAAAUUUAACGGAUCUAAACAAUAUACCGAAACAUUGUCCAUAUUUAUUUAUAUAUCAUAGUUAUAUAUAGUAUUUAUGGGGUAGCGGAACAUUGGGCAAACCUCAGAUUUUUUCUUUAAAAGACUUAAAAAAAGGUAACCCAAGUGAUAAUGCUGACAUGAGUAACGAUAAAGGGAAUUUAAGUAUAUUUAAAGCAAAGCUUACUUAAAUGGAAGCUUACUUAAGCAUUGUUGUAAUUAAACUUAAGUAAGCUUACUUAAAUGGAAGCUUACUUAAGCAUUGUUGUAAUUAUACUUAAGCAUUGUUGUAAUUAUACUUAUUAUAUUAUUCCCUCGCCUAAAGCUUAUGGUAUUUACUUAAAGUAACGGCCUCUAAGUUUAAAAACGAUAAUCUAAAAUAAAUCUGAGCUGAAUUUUAAAUGAGAUAAUUGGGUUUUAAAUAGACAAUAAAUCAGCUUAGAUAGGUUUUAUUGUACUUAGUCCCUAAGGUUUAAACGAUGAGCAAAUCUAGAGAGUUUAAUAGCAAAUAACAUUUAUAAAUAACAUUUAUGCAUCUGUUAUAGAUAUAUAGUUGGUGUAUAAAAAAAAAGGUGAGAAAUGUUCUGGAAAACUGUGAACUCGGCAUUAUACUGCAGUUUAUAGAUAUGAGGUUAAUUGCCUUAUAUGAGGUUAAUUGCCUUAUAUGAGGUUAAUUGCCUUGCAUCGAAUAAAAACCAAAAUAAAAACCAGAAAACGGGUUUAAUGUCUAUAUCAACCGUACCUAAAUACUAACACAAGUAAGCUAGUAGAGAAUACGAAGGCGUUCGAGUGAACAAUCAUUAAGGAACUCGGCAAAUUGACUCCGUCGUAACUUAGGGAUAUGGUGGGCCAUUCCACUUUCUUAAUAUCAAGGAUGGAAGAGGAGGCACAGAAUGAUGUUGUACGACUGUUUAAUUAAAACAAAGCAUGCUGCAAAAAAUUAAGAAUUCGAAGUAUAGUGUGUGAUGUCUGCCCGAUGACGGCUGGGUAUAUGAUUUGCUUAUCUGACUAAUAUAGGUUAGGCUUUGAUAGAAACCCCGUUCAAUGGCGGCUUUAGCUAUAAGGGUCCUAAGGUAGCGGAAUACCCUGGCCGUUAAAUGCGGUCUUGCAUGAAUGAUGUAACGAUACAACAGCUGUCUCGAUGAUUGGCUCGGUGAAAUUGGAAUAACUGUGCAGAUACAGUUUACCUCUAGUUAGACGAGAAGACCCUAUGCAGCUUUACUGCAGCUAGUUAUUGGGUAUGAUAUAACAAGUUUUAGUGUAUAAGGUAGUUGAUAAGACAACAUUGAAACACCUUUACUAACGGGGGUCAUAUUGAAUAAACCCUACAAAUCAGGGUACAGUUGCUUGGUGGCAGUUUAUGCGCUUAAUCUUGCUAUACUGUUUGACUUACACGUCUUUCAGUCGCGUAAGCGGGGCAUAUGAUCACAAGAUGCAGAAAGGAAAGGUCUUGUAUUAUUGAAAAAGCUACGCUAGGGAUAACAGGCUAAUUUUGCAAGAGAGCUCAAAUCGGCUGCAAAGUUUGGCACCUCGAUGUCGGCUUAACUCAUCCUCAUGAAUGCAAGAGCCAUGUAAGGUUCGACUGUUCGUCGAUUAAAGAGUUACACGAGCUGGGUUAAAUACGUCGUGAGACAGUAUGGUUUCUAUCUUCUAGAGGAAAUUAGAAUAAAAUAAGGAUAGACCCGACGUACGUAAGGAAAUGGAUAUAUUAACCUCUGGUCUACCUGUUGUUUAUGUUCCUAUAUUAAAAUAUAAGUUUAUAGGAAAAGGGAAGGGAAACCCUCUCUUUUUAAUAUGGCUUAUAUAAGGUUUUACUUCACACUAAAGUAAUAUUUAGCAUAGGCACGGCAGGAAGGCUAUGUUAGUCAACGUUAAGUGCUGAAUGAAUCUAGGCACGAAACUAACCUUAAGAUAUUCUUAAAUAAACGUAGUUUAAUACUACGAUUUUAGAUCUUAUUUUUUUAGAUAAAGAUCUUAAUUAAUAGGCUUUAGCUGACAGAAUUGUGACAUUUUUAGGCAUUAAGUACUAAUAUUUUUAAUUU